rnacentral:rRNA from 1 species
GAUUAACGCUAGCGGCAGGCCUAAUACAUGCAAGUUGGUACGGGAUUAUUGGUAGCAAUACUGAUAUGAGAGUAGCGCACGGGUGCGUAACACGUAUGCAACCUACCUUUAACUGGGGAAUAGCUCACCGAAAGGGUGAAUUAAUACCGCAUAAAAUCACAGAAGGACAUCCUUUAAUGAUUAAAUCUCCGGAGGUUAAAGAUGGGCAUGCGUCCGAUUAGC